rnacentral:rRNA from 1 species
GACGAACGCUGGCGGCGUGCUUAACACAUGCAAGUCGAACGGAAAGGCCCUGCUCUUGUGGGGUGCUCGUGUGGCGAACGGGUGUGUAACACGUGAGUAACCUGCCCUUGACUUUGGGAAAACUUCAGGAAACUGGGGAUAAUACCGGAUAGGAGCUCCUGCUGCAUGGUGGGGGUUGGAAAGUUUCGGCGGUUGGGGAUGGACUCGCGGCUUAUCAGCUUGUUGGUGGGGUAGUGGCUUACCAAGGCUUUGACGGGUAGCCGGCCGGAGAGGGUGACCGGCCACAUGGGGACUGAGAUACGCCCCAGACUCCUACGGGAGGCAGCGGUGGGGAAUAUUGCACAAUGGGCGGAAGCCUGAGGCAGCAACGCCGCGUGCGGGAUGACGGCCUUCGGGUUGAAAACCGCUUUCGCCUGUGACGAAGCGUGAGUGACGGUAAUGGGUAAAGAAGCACCGGCUAACUACGUG